GAUUAGAUUUUAUUUAUUAAUUAUUAGUAUUAUUUUUUUAAAUUAUUAGAAAUAACUAUAAAUUAUAAAGUUUUAGUAUUGUUUAAAGAAAAAAUAAUUUUAAUAAUAGUUUAUUAGUAUUGUAAAAGAAAAUUGAAAUAAAUUGAAAAAUUUUUAUUUAAAAAGAAAAUUUAAUUUAUUGUACCUUGUGUAUCAGCGUUUAUUAAAUAAAAAAUAAAUAUUUAUUUUUCUCGAUUUUAAAAGAGUUAAUAUAAUAUUUAAGUUAAUGUAGUAAAAUUAUUUAAAAUAUUAUAUUAGAAAUGAAAUGUUAUUCGUUUUUAAAGGUAUCUAGUUUUUUAAGAAAUAAAUUUAAUUUAGAAAUUAUAAAUUUAUUUAAUUGAUUAAUUAAUUAAAUAAUUUAUGAUUUUAAUAUUUUAUGGGAUAAGCUAUAAAAUAAAUUUUUAAAAAUAAUAAAUAAAUUUAAUAAAUAUAUGCUUAGAAUUAGCAAUUAUUAAAAAAUGUGUUAUAAUUUAUUUUAUAAAUUAUAUUAUUUAUUAAAUUUUAAAUAUUUAUUAAAAUAUUAAUUUUAAUUUUUAAAAUUAAGUAAUAAUGAUAGAAUUAGUAUAUUUAUAUUGUUAAAAUAAUUAUAAAUGAAAAGUUUAAAUAAAGAAUUCGGCAAAAAUAAUGUUCGCCUGUUUAACAAAAACAUGUCUUUUUGAAUUAAAUAUAAAGUCUAACCUGCCCACUGAUAAUUUUUAAAUGGCCGCAGUAUUUUGACUGUGCAAAGGUAGCAUAAUCAUUAGUCUUUUAAUUGAAGGCUGGAAUGAAUGGUUGGACGAAAUAUUAACUGUUUCAUUUAAAAUUAAAGUAGAAUUUUAUUUUUUAGUCAAAAAGCUAAAAUAAUUUUAAAAGACGAGAAGACCCUAUAAAUCUUUAUAUUUUAUUUAUUUUAAUUAUAAAGAUUAAUUUAAUUUUAAUAAAUUAAAAUAUUUUAUUGGGGUGAUAUUAAAAUUUAAAAAACUUUUAAUUUUUAAAAACAUUAAUUUAUGAAUAAUUGAUCCAUUAAUAAUGAUUAAAAAAUUAAGUUACUUUAGGGAUAACAGCGUAAUUUUUUUGGAGAGUUCAUAUCGAUAAAAAAGAUUGCGACCUCGAUGUUGGAUUAAGAUAUAAUUUUGGGUGUAGCCGUUCAAAUUUUAAGUCUGUUCGACUUUUAAAUUCUUACAUGAUCUGAGUUCAAACCGGUGUAAGCCAGGUUGGUUUCUAUCUUUAAAAAAUUAUAAUAUUUUAGUACGAAAGGACCAAAUAUUAAAAUAAUUAUAUUUAAUAAAAUGAAUAUUAUUAAUAUUAAUAUAAACUAUUUUGGCAGAUUAGUGCAAUAAAUUUAG
rnacentral:rRNA from 1 species